GAUGAAGAACGUAGCGAAAUGCGAUAAGUAAUGUGAAUUGCAGAAUUCAGUGAAUCAUCGAGUCUUUGAACGCACAUUGCGCCCCCUGGUAUUCCGGGGGGCACGCCUGUCCGAGCGUCAUUGCUGCCCUCAAGCACGGCUUGUGUGUUGGGCCCCCGCCCCCCGGCUUCGGGGGGCGGGCCCGAAAGGCAGCGGCGGCACCGCGUCCGGUCCUCGAGCGUAUGGGGCUUCGUCACCCGCUCUGUAGGCCCGGCCGGCGCCCGCCGGCGACCCCAAUCAAUCUUUCCAGGUUGACCUCGGAUCAGGUAGGGAUACCCGCUGAACUUAAGCAUAUCAAUAAGCGGAGGA
rnacentral:misc_RNA from 1 species